GACAGAGGGUGCAAACGUUGUUCGGAAUUACUGGGCGUAAAGCGCGUGUAGGCGGCCCUGCAAGUCGGAUGUGAAAUCCCUCGGCUUAACCGAGGAACUGCCUGUCAAACUGCAUGGCUUGAGACCGGGAGAGGUGAGUGGAAUUCCCAGUGUAGCGGUGAAAUGCGUAGAUAUUGGGAGGAACACCAGUGGCGAAGGCGGCUCACUGGACCGGUACUGACGCUGAUGCGCGAAAGCGUGGGGAGCAAACAGG
rnacentral:rRNA from 1 species